UACGUAGGGUCCGAGCGUUUGUCCGGAAUUAUUGGGCGUAAAGAGCUCGUAGGCGGUUUGUCGCGUCUGCUGUGAAAUCCCGAGGCUCAACCUCGGGUCUGCAGUGGGUACGGGCAGACUGGAGUGCGGUAGGGGAGAAUGGAAUUCCUGGUGUAGCGGUGGAAUGCGCAGAUAUCAGGAGGAACACCAAUGGCGAAGGCAGUUCUCUGGGCCGUAACUGACGCUGAGGAGCGAAAGCGUGGGGAGCGAACAGG
rnacentral:rRNA from 1 species